ACUAUUUUAGUUUGGUAGAUUUCUUACCUCAUUUCUUAAAGGCUAUAGGAACUCCUGUGCGGCUAGCCGGUAAAUUUAUAUAUUAAAGCAAUUUAAAUAUAGUAAGUAUGAUAUAAGGAGCAAAUAUUGGUGCCAGCAGCUGCGGUCAUACCAAUCCUUAAGUAAGUACAGUCUUUAAAUUGAAUUAAUCUAAAUUAAAAAUUAAGGUGAAAUUUAUUUUUUAUAUAAAGUACACAGAUUAAAACAAAUAAAUAAAAGUAGAGCAAAAACUAGGAUUAGAUACCCUACUAUUCUCCUUUAAAACUAAUUUAAAGAGCAGUAAAUAUUAUAAAUAUGAAACUUAAAAAUUAUGGCAGUAAAAUUAAUAAUACAGGGGAACUUACUAAAUUAAUUCGAUAACCCCCGAGUCAGUCCACUUACUUUUAAAAUUUGUAUACCGCCGUUUAGGAGAUUAUUAAGUAGUCUUCUUUAUAAAGAAAAUAUUUAAAAAAACAGGUCAAGGUGCAAUCAAUAAGUUAGUUUUAGCGAGUUACAAUAAUAAUAAAAAUUCUUAGAUGUGAGGUAGAGCAUAUAUCUUAGAUGGACUUGUUAGUACUGAAUAAUUAAAAUUAAAUCAAGAAUUAUUUUAAUUUUGUGUACAAAUCGCCCGUCACUCUCCUUAAUUAAAAGGAGAUAAGUCGUAACACAGUAGGUGUAGCUGAAGCUGCCCCU
rnacentral:rRNA from 1 species